GACGAACGCUGGCGGCGUGCUUAACACAUGCAAGUCGAACGGAAAGGCCCUGCUUGCAGGGUACUCGAGUGGCGAACGGGUGAGUAACACGUGGGUGAUCUGCCCUGCACUUCGGGAUAAGCCUGGGAAACUGGGUCUAAUACCGGAUAGGAGCCAUUUUUAGUGUGAUGGUUGGAAAGUUUUUUCGGUGUGGGAUGAGCUCGCGGCCUAUCAGCUUGUUGGUGGGGUAAUGGCCUACCAAGGCGGCGACGGGUAGCCGGCCUGAGAGGGUGGACGGCCACAUUGGGGCUGAGAUACGGCCCAGACGCCUACGGGGGGCAGCAGUGGGGAAUAUUGCACAAUGGGCGCAAGCCUGAUGCAGCGACGCCGCGUGGGGGAAGACGGGCUUUGGGUUGUAAACUCCUUUCGCUAGGGACGAAGCUUUUUGUGACGGUACCUAGAUAAGAAGCACCGGCUAACUACGUG
rnacentral:rRNA from 1 species